CGACGUUGAUAGGCUGGGUGUGUAAGCGUAGCGAUACGUUGAGCUAACCAGUACUAAUGAUCCGUGAGGCUUAACCUUAC
rnacentral:rRNA from 1 species